CUCGGAUUCCGGCAUUCAAACCAUGCAGUCGAACGAUAACCCAUUCGGGGUGGAUUAUUGGCGAACGGGUGAGUAACACGUGGGCAAUCUGCCCUGCACUCUGGGACAAGCCCUGGAAACGGGGUCUAAUACCGGAUAUUGACCAUCUUGGGCAUCCUUGAUGGUGGAAAGCUCCGGCGGUGCAGGAUGAGCCCGCGGCCUAUCACCUUGUUGGUGAGGUAAUGGCUCACCAAGGCGACGACGGGUAGCCGGCCUGGGAGGGCGACCGGCCACACUGGGACUGAGACACGGCCCAGACUCCUACGGCAGGCAGCAGUGGGGAAUAUUGCACAAUGGGCGAAAGCCUGAUGCAUCGACGCCCCGUGAGGGAUGACGGCCUUCGGGUUGUAAACCUCUUUCAGCAGGGAAGAAGCGAAAGUGACGGUACCUGCAGAAGAAGCGCCGGCGAACUACGUGCCAGCAGCCGCGGUAAUACGUAGGGUGCGAGCGUUGUCCGGAAUUAUUGGGCGUAAAGAGCUCGUAGGCGGCUUGUCGCGUCGGUUGUGAAAGCCCGGGGCUUAACCACGGGUCUGCAGUCGAUACGGGCAGGCUAGAGUUCGGUAGGGGAGAUCGGAAUUCCUGGUGUAUCGGUGAAAUGCGCAGAUCUCAGGAGGAACACCGGUGGCGAAGGCGGAUCUCUGGGCCGAUACUGACGCUGAGGAGCGAAAGCGUGGGGAGCGAACAGGAUUAGAUACCCUGGUAGUCCACGCCGUAUACGGUGGGCACUAGGUGUGGGCAACAUUCCACGUUGUCCGUGCCGCAGCUAACGCAUUAAGUGCCCCGCCUGGGGAGUACGGCCGCAAGGCUAAAACUCAAAGGAAUUGACGGGUGCCCGCACAAGCGGCGGAACAUGUGGCUUAAUUCGACGCAACGCGAAGAACUUACCAAGGCUUGACAUACACCGGAAAACCCUGGAGACAGGUCCCCCUUGUGGUCGGUGUACAGGUGGUGCAUGGCUGUCAUCAGCUCAUGUCGUGAAAUGUGGGGUCAUUCCCGCAACGAGCGCAACCCUUGUCCCGUGUUGCAGCAGGCCCUUGUGGUGCUGGGGACUCACGGAAAACGGCCGGGUCAACUCGGAGGAAGUGGGGACGACGUCAAGUCUUCAAGCCCCUAAGUCUUGGGCUGCAACGUGUAGAAUGGCCGGUCAAAUGAGUUGGAAACCCCGGGGUGGAACCAUCUCUAAAACCGGUUCCAAUUUUAAUUGGUUUUCC
rnacentral:rRNA from 1 species